rnacentral:tRNA from 1 species
GCCCGAAUAGCUCAGUUGGCCAGAGCAACGCUCUUGUAAAGCGUAGGUCGUGGGUUCGAAUCCCACUUCGGGCU